rnacentral:tRNA from 1 species
GCCUCUGUAGCUCAGUUGGUUAGAGCACUGCACCGGAAUCGCAGGGCCGUAGGUUCAAUUCCUACCAGAGGAC